rnacentral:rRNA from 1 species
CUGAAUAGGGCGCUUAGUCAGAUGCUGCAGACCCGAAACGAAGUGAUCUAUCCAUGAGCAAGUUGAAGCUAGUGUAAGAACUAGUGGAGGACUGAACCCAUAGGCGUUGAAAAGCCCCGGGAUGACUUGUGGAUAGGGGUGAAAGGCCAAUCAAACUUCGUGAUAGCUGGUUCUCUCCGAAAUAUAUUUAGGUAUAGCGUUGUGUCGUAAUAUAAGGGGGUAGAGCACUGAAUGGGCUAGGGCAUACACCAAUGUACCAAACCCUAUCAAACUCCGAAUACCUUAUAUGUAAUCACAGCAGUCAGGCGGCGAGUGAUAAAAUCCGUCGUCAAGAGGGAAACAACCCAGACUACCAGCUAAGGUCCCUAAAUCUUACUUAAGUGGAAAACGAUGUGAAGUUACUUAAACAACCAGGAGGUUGGCUUAGAAGCAGCCAUCCUUUAAAGAAAGCGUAAUAGCUCACUGGUCUAGUGAUUUUGCGCGGAAAAUAUAACGGGGCUAAAGUAAGUACCGAAGCUGUAGACUUGAUUUUAUCAAGUGGUAGGAGAGCGUUCUAUUUGCGUCGAAGGUAUACCGGUAAGGAGUGCUGGAGCGAAUAGAAGUGAGCAUGCAGGCAUGAGUAGCGAUAAUUAAUGUGAGAAUCAUUAACGCCGUAAACCCAAGGUUUCCUACGCGAUGCUCGUCAUCGUAGGGUUAGUCGGGUCCUAAGUCGAGUCCGAAAGGGGUAGACGAUGGCAAAUUGGUUAAUAUUCCAAUACCAACAUUAGUGUGCGAUGGAAGGACGCUUAGGGCUAAGGGGGCUAGCGGAUGGAAGUGCUAGUCUAAGGUCGUAGGAGGUUAUACAGGCAAAUCCGUAUAACAAUACUCCGAGAACUGAAAGGCUUUUUGAAGUCUUCGGAUGGAUAGAAGAACCCCUGAUGCCGUCGAGCCAAGAAAAGUUUCUAAGUUUAGCUAAUGUUGCCCGUACCGUAAACCGACACAGGUGGGUGGGAUGAGUAUUCUAAGGCGCGUGGAAGAACUCUCUUUAAGGAACUCUGCAAAAUAGCACCGUAUCUUCGGUAUAAGGUGUGGUUCGCUUCGUAUUAGGAUUUACUCCGAAAGCGAAGAAACUUACAACAAAGAGUCCCUCCCGACUGUUUACCAAAAACACAGCACUCUGCUAACUCGUAAGAGGAUGUAUAGGGUGUGACGCCUGCCCGGUGCUCGAAGGUUAAUUGAUGGGGUUAGCAUUAGCGAAGCUCUUGAUCGAAGCCCGAGUAAACGGCGGCCGUAACUAUAACGGUCCUAAGGUAGCGAAAUUCCUUGUCGGUUAAAUACCGACCUGCAUGAAUGGCGUAACGAGAUGGGAGCUGUCUCAAAGAGGGAUCCAGUGAAAUUGUAGUGGAGGUGAAAAUUCCUCCUACCCGCGGCAAGACGGAGAGACCCCGUGGACCUUUACUACAGCUUGACACUGCUAUUUGGAUAAGAAUGUGCAGGAUAGGUGGGAGGCUUUGAGUAUAUGACGCCAGUUGUAUAUGAGCCAUUGUUGAGAUACCACUCUUUCUUAUUUGGGUAGCUAACCAGCUUGAGUUAUCCUCAAGUGGGACAAUGUCUGGUGGGUAGUUUGACUGGGGCGGUCGCCUCCCAAAUAAUAACGGAGGCUUACAAAGGUUGGCUCAGAACGGUUGGAAAUCGUUCGUAGAGUAUAAAGGUAUAAGCCAGCUUAACUGCAAGACAUACAAGUCAAGCAGAGACGAAAGUCGGUCUUAGUGAUCCGGUGGUUCUGUGUGGAAGGGCCAUCGCUCAAAGGAUAAAAGGUACCCCGGGGAUAACAGGCUGAUCUCCCCCAAGAGCUCACAUCGACGGGGAGGUUUGGCACCUCGAUGUCGGCUCAUCGCAUCCUGGGGCUGGAGCAGGUCCCAAGGGUAUGGCUGUUCGCCAUUUAAAGCGGUACGCGAGCUGGGUUCAGAACGUCGUGAGACAGUUCGGUCCCUAUCUGCCGUGGGCGUAAGAAGAUUGAAGAGAUUUGACCCUAGUACGAGAGGACCGGGUUGAACAAACCACUGGUGUAGCUGUUGUUCUGCCAAGAGCAUCGCAGCGUAGCUAAGUUUGGAAAGGAUAAACGCUGAAAGCAUCUAAGCGUGAAGCCAACUCUAAGAUGAAUCUUCUCUAAGCUCUCUAGAAGACUACUAGUUUGAUAGGCUGGGUGUGUAAUGGAUGAAAGUCCUUUAGCUGACCAGUACUAAUAGAGCGUUUGGCUUAUCUUUAAUAAAGCAU